rnacentral:rRNA from 2 species
UACGGAGGGUGCAAGCGUUAUCCGGAUUCACUGGGUUUAAAGGGUGCGUAGGUGGGCUAGUAAGUCCGUGGUGAAAUCCCCGAGCUUAACUUGGGAACUGCCAUUGAUACUAUUAGUCUUGAAUAUCGUGGAGGUAAGCGGAAUAUGUCAUGUAGCGGUGAAAUGCUUAGAUAUGACAUAGAACACCAAUUGCGAAGGCAGCUUGCUACACGGUCAUUGACACUGAGGCACGAAAGCGUGGGGAGCAAACAGG